rnacentral:lncRNA from 1 species
UGAGGCUUCACAGUGGCCAGGGCAGCUGGGGCCGUAGAGGACAUGGCCUGGACUCUCAUCCCUUCCUGUAGCUUCGGGGCACAAGGUCUCUCUCUGUCACCCAGGCUGGAGUACAGUGCUGUGGUCAUAGCUCACUGCAGCCUCGAACUCCUGGGCUCAAGUGGUCCUCCUGGAGAAGUGUGGCCUUUCUCAAGCAGGAGAGAGGCGAGGAGGAGC